ensembl:lncRNA
GGGCAGGUGGUAAAUUAGAGUCAUGAAUUACCCUGGAACUCAGAAUGCCGGCCCACCUCAGCUUGUAACGCCCUCGUUGUUAGCGCAAAUCUCUGGUUCCCGGCAGGCGGGGGUGCGUUGAAAGUGGCUCUCACCGGGAACUCUGAUGCUGUUUUUGACGACUGCGUUCACUGGCUCUGUGUGUGUGUGUGUGUGUGUGUGUGUGUGUGUGUGUGUGUGUGUGUGUGUGUGUGUGUGUGUGUGUGUGUGUGUGCGCGCAAUCCAUCGACUGGAGUGACCUGGGCUAUCAGACGGGAGACAGAUGUCUCGGCAUCUGGAGAGACGCGACUGGUUUGAGUGGAUUGAUAGUCAGCCAAUGAGCAAGGGGACACUCGAGGUCCCUGUGCCCGCCCCUUCGUUCCCAUUGGACUGAUUGGAAGGCUGGAGGCCUUGUGAUAAGGAGGGCAGCUCUGUCAUAGGGGGGCGGGCCUUGGAAACAAACAACCCACACCACCUCAACUGUUGACCCAACUGGUGUUGUUUACGGACUGACUCAAAACACAUGUUGACACACGCACACACACAUGCAGGCACAUACUUAGAAACACAAAAAUACACUCAGAAACACACACACACACACAAACAAGGACACACAUGAUGACACACACACACACACGGAGGUACAAAUGCAAGGACAGACAUAAGACACACGCAUACAAACUAACGCCACAAACACACGCAUGCGCACACACACACACACACACACACUUACCGGGUCGGAACUUCCUUCCUUCCUGUAAAUGUUGGCUGGCAUCAGAGGGUGUCACGGAGUCCCGACAUGAGACUCGUUUUCACAACAGCCAGCUUCCGGGAACGUCUGUCCGGGAACGUGUCACUAAUGAGAGGGGAUGUUCGGCGGAGCGUCGCACGACAACAAGAGUUCCGGUAACCAUAGCCCUGGAACCGGGUUGUUGACAGAACGGUAGCGUGACAGAGUUGGCAGGCUGAGGCUGAGGACACACUUAGGAUGUUGAGGUCCUGGCUUAGGAUGGAUGGAGCAGCC